AGCCAGUGGGAAUUAAAAAAAAUAGAAAAACCAAACUAUUCAAAUUCAUCUCUUUCUUUCCCAAUUCCAAUUCCAAUGACCAAAAUCCGAAUUCUUGAUUUUUCCUAAAUCCCACAAAUCACAUCUGGGUUCCAUUUUUGCCAAUCCGAUGAAACCCAAGUUGUGGCGGCUUUCGUUAUUGGUGUUGGUCUCAGUUUGCUUUUCCAUAGCUGAAUCCAAAUGUAGUAAAGGAUGUGAUUUGGCUUUAGCUUCAUACUACUUUUCGGAGACGAAUCUCACUUUCAUAGCUCAAGUUUUGCAGUCUAACCUUAAUAUCAACCCUAGUACAAUUGUCAGUUACAACAAGCAAACGAUAGCCAAUGAAAACAGUGUUCAAGAUGGUGUAAAAGCCCGUGUUCCAUUCCCAUGUGACUGUAUCAACGGCCAGUUUCUAGGUCACAUGUUUGAGUACACGGUUCAUUCAGGGGUUUCGUACAUGACGGUGGCACAGGUGUAUUAUGCCAAUCUGACCACAUAUCAGUUGUUGCAACAGUAUAAUAGCUAUGACCCCAAUGAUACCAACACCAAUACCAAGUUGAAUGUCAUGGUCACAUGUUCCUGUGGCAGUAGCUCGGUUUCAAAGGAUUAUGGUUUGUUUAUUACAUACCCGCUUCGGCCAGAGGACACCAUCGAAUCGAUUGCGUCGGCUACGAGUCUUAGUGCGGCGUUGCUGGAAAGAAUUUCAGCCAAGGAAGUGGUGUGGUGUAUAUCCCCGCCAAAGAUCAAAAUGAUAAUUAUCCACCUCUGGUAUCAAGCACAAGCGGACUAGCAGCCGGAGUUAUUGCUGGCAUAGCUAUGGGAGCUGUAGCUAUUCCGCUGUUACUUGCAACUUGUAUAUAUUUUGGAUGUUACCGAAAGAUGAAGGUGGAGGCAUUGUUGCCCUUUACAGCAUCUGAGGGUCAGCAUGGGCGUGACCCUAGACCUACCAUGGGUAGAAAUGCAGAAUCAACUGGUCCUGCUGGUGAUCCAGAUAAAGCUUUGGGAUGUAUAGGUAUGACUGUGCACAAAUCAGUAGAGUUCUCGUAUGAAGAACUUGCCACAGCUACCAAUGACUUCAGCAUGGCUAGUAAGAUUGGUGAAGGUGGUUUUGGGGUUGUUUAUUAUGCAGAGUUGAGAGGCAAGAAAGCUGCAAUCAAGAAGAUGGAUAUGCAAGCAUCCAAAGAAUUUCUUGCUGAAUUAAAGGUUUUAACAAGUGUUCAUCACUUGAAUCUGGUGUGCUUGAUCGGGUAUUGCAUUCAGGGUUCUCUUUUUUUGGUCUAUGAAUAUGUUGAGAAUGGCAACUUAAAGCAACAUUUGCGUGGCACAUCAGGGAGGGACCCGUUGACAUGGCCUACUAGGAUACAAAUUGCACUUGAUUCAGCCAGAGGUCUUGAAUAUAUCCACGAGCAUACCAUUCCGGUUUAUAUCCAUCGAGAUAUUAAAUCAGCAAAUAUAUUGAUUGACGAGAACUUCCAUGCAAAGGUUGCAUUAGUAACUCUAUUCUUGCUAUGGAUCUUCAAAAAUGUGUUCACAUUGUUUUAUUGCAUACAUUGUAGGUUGCAGAUUUUGGGUUAGCUAAACUGUCUGAAGUUGGAGGUGUAUCAAGCUCCACACAAGUCAUGGGAACAUUUGGAUACAUGCCACCUGAAUAUGCUUGGGGUGGAGAUGUUUCUCCCAAAGUAGAUGUUUAUGCUUUUGGGGUUGUCCUUUUUGAGCUUAUUUCUGCCAAGGAAGCAUUGC